CAGCCGCCACGGGAAUACGUAGGUGGCGAGCGUUGUCCGGAAUUAUUGGGCGUAAAGCGCGCGCAGGUGGUUUAAUAAGUCUGAUGUGAAAGCCCACGGCUCAACCGUGGAAGGUCAUUGGAAACUGUUAAACUUGAGUGCAGGAGAGAAAAGUGGAAUUCCUAGUGUAGCGGUGAAAUGCGUAGAGAUUAGGAGGAACACCAGUGGCGAAGGCGGCUUUUUGGCCUGUAACUGACACUGAGGCGCGAAAGCGUGGGGAGCAAACAGGAUUAGAUACCCCAGUAGUCCCUGUCUCUUAUAU
rnacentral:rRNA from 1 species